GUCACUGACCCCUACAGUCUCUCGCGCGUGCUACAUCACAGUCUCCUGCUUUUUCUUUUCUUUUUUUGACGGUUUUAAACACAUAAAAGCAGCGUCAAUAUUUAACUAAAAUAAGUUUUACCACAUAAAAAAAAAGUUUCUCCACCAUGUUGUCCUCUCCAGUGAAGACCUGAAGAUGUCCUCCAGUCACACACGGAGACACAGACCGCUGUCCAAAGAUAUCUGCAAGACCUUGGUGCGAAGAUUUCAGUCGUCAUUCAGACGGAGGAGGAACAAGGAACCAGCACAGAUUCUCCUGGGAAACCUUGGGAUCUGGCAUUCAUGUGGAUGCCACUUGACAAGCUUCGCUCACCCAAAUACUGUUGGCAACGACACCCCCCCCCCCAUCCCAGCAGGACAGUGCACCAUGGCACAGCUCAAAAAUGGAACGUGACAAAGACAUGAAGCUUCAACCUGACCUCCGAAUUCCUCAGAUCCCAACCCAAUCAAACAUCUGUGAAACGUGCCAGUAUGCCACCAUGGACUCAAAGGAUCCGCUGCCAAUCCCCCAGUUCCAUACACCACAGGACACCCUCAAAGGACUUGUGUCCAUGACUCAACGGGUCAGUGACCCUGCCGCUGAUCGGACUUGGUUCUGACCUGUCGACACACACACACAGGAUCUCUGGGGUGCCAACAUUUCCCACAGAUGCUCGAUCACAUUGGGAUCUGGGGUGAAUUCGGAGGUCAGGUCGACUUUUUGAGCUGGACCACUGAUAAGGGAAUGCCAUUACCAUGAGGCGGUGUACUUUGUUUGUAACGGCGUGGGUGGGUGGUGUGAUCAGCCAAAAUGUUAGGGCCCAGGGUUUCCCAGAUGAUCAUUCCCAGCUGGCACUGGACUUCGAUAUGGUGUCAGGAAGAUGUCGGACAGAUAUUAAAUUUUGGUUGGAAUGAAUGUCCAAUGAAUGCGAUUUUGAUAUUUUAUAGACAUUGGGUUUUGUUCUUUAUAUCUUUGAACAUUGUGAACUGAACAUCAGUUAUUCUAUGACAAGAUGACAUCGGCAUUUUGGUUAUUUAACUACACAACUCAUCUAUCGUCAUUAUUCUGUCUAAUGACGUUAGUGGCCAGCUGGGUUGCACUGCAAAGAGACUACUAACUAACAGUCCUAAAGGAAUAUAAAAGAAAGAUUAUGCUGCAUUGCCUUAAUUUAUUCUGUUUAGUAACUGAUGAUGAUUCAUUCUCUUAUGUCAAUCAGUGAGUAAUGUAUUACCUAACUGGUGGUUCUGGAAUAAGGUUUAUGGAACAUCACAACAGUUGAUAAGAUGAUGAGCCAGGCUGCCAGUUUGUACGUGCUGCCUACAGACUGUGAUUGCUGUGUUGACAGUCGCUGCUCUUAGACGGAUCAAAAUGGCAGCUCAAUUCAAUGAUAGUCUUUUCUUUGCAGGCUGUAAAAGUCAGUUGAUGAUGCAGUAAUAAGUGUGUGUUGAUGUGUGUGUAACCACUCAAACACUGGUGAAAGAACGGAGGAAAACAGGCCAUUUUCAUGAUAUGUUGAUACGGUCAACAUUCUUUUUCUUUUAUUUUUCGAUCUUGAAAUGCUCCCAUCUUCCACAAUGAACAUUAGUGUCUUUACAUACAUAUUCAUGUCAAAAGAAAACGAUGGUAAUGACCAACCAGACCAACCACCACCCAUCUCUAAACACCGCACUAUCUUUGCCUGUUUCUUUUUUUUUUUUUUUUUUUUUUUUUUGUCCUCUUGUCUUUUUCAUAAAACCAUCAGCAAAACCACAAACAUUACUGAUUAAUACACACUGAAAAAGGGGGGGGGGG